rnacentral:rRNA from 1 species
CCUACGGGGGGCUGCAGUGAGGAAUAUUGGACAAUGGAGGAAACUCUGAUCCAGCCAUGCCGCGUGAGUGAUGAAGGCCUUCGGGUUGUAAAGCUCUUUCGGGUGUGAAAAUGAUGAUGGUAACACCAGAAGAAGCCCCGGCUAACUCCGUGCCAGCAGCCGCGGUAAUACGGAGGGGGCGAGCGUUGUUCGGAAUCACUGGGCGUAAAGCGUGCGUAGGCGGUUAUACAAGUCAGGAGUGAAAUCCCAGGGCUCAACCUUGGAAUUGCUUUUGA